GGAUGAACGCUGCGGCGUGCCUAAUACAUGCAAGUCGAGCGAACAGAUAAGGAGCUUGCUCCUUUGAAGUUAGCGGCGGACGGGUGAGUAACACGUGGGUAACCUACCUAUAAGACUGGGAUAACUUGGAAACCGGAGCUAAUACCGGAUAACAUUUAGAACCGCAUGGUUCUAAAGUGAAAGAUGGUUUUGCUAUCACUUAUAGAUGGACCCGCGCCGUAUUAGCUAGUUGGUAAGGUAACGGCUUACCAAGGCGACGAUACGUAGCCGACCUGAGAGGGUGAUCGGCCACACUGGAACUGAGACACGGUCCAGACUCCUACGGGAGGCAGCAGUAGGGAAUCUUCCGCAAUGGGCGAAAGCCUGACGGAGCAACGCCGCGUGAGUGAUGAAGGGUUUCGGCUCGUAAAACUCUGUUAUUAGGGAAAGAACAAAUGUGUAAGUAACUGUGCACAUCUUGACGGUACCUAAUCAGAAAGCCACGGCUAACUACGUG
rnacentral:rRNA from 1 species